rnacentral:rRNA from 1 species
UUGGACGGGGCCCGCACAAGCAGCGGAGCGUGUGGUUUAAUUCGACGCAACGCGCAGAACCUUACCAGGGUUUGACAUGUAGCUGUAAGGCCUAGAGAUAGGUCCCCCCCGCAAGGGGCGGUUACACAGAUGCUGCAUGGCUGUCGUCAGCUCGUGCCGUGAGGUAUUGGGUUAAGUCCCGCAACGAGCGCAACCCUCGUCGCCAGUUGCUCUCUCUGGCGAGACUGCCGCGACAAACGCGGAGGAAGGUGGGGAUGACGUCAAGUCAGCACGGCUCUUACAUCCUGGGCUACACACACGCUACAAUGGGCGGUAACAGAGGGUUGCUAAGGGGCGACCUGGAGCCAAUCCCAACAAAACCGUCCUCAGUUCAGAUUGCAGGCUGAAACUCGCCUGCAUGAAGACGGAGUUGCUAGUAACCGCAGGUCAGCACACUGCGGUGAAUACGUUCCCGGGCCUU